GUUACACCUCAGAAAAGGCCUGUGAAAACAUUGGAUUACGGAAGUCCCACACAUUUGUGGAUCUUUUUCUCUCUUUUUUAAUCUAUAAAAUAAAUGAGGGUUGGUCCAGCUGACCUCUAUGCAAGUAAAAUUAACAUGCAAAUUGAAGGCUAAUUUAUUAAUUAUAUAGAAAUAUAUGUAGAGGAGGAUGAAAACUAUGAUGUAGCAUAAACAAGAUCUGUGCAGAGUAUUAACCUUUCAAAUCAGUCACAUUCAGAUCUCUGAGCACAAAGUCCCUAAGAAUUUACUUGCUGUAAUAGUUAAACUCUCCAUGCAGUUCAUACAUUUCAUUAAAUGCCGAGGCCAGGGGGUAUAUUGUUGUAAUGAGGUCUCUCCUUACUCAUAUUAAUUUUAAUUAACUUAAAAUUGUUUAAUUAUAAAUGUAGUAAUACUCAUUUCUUUUACAAAGCAAUCUUAGAGUGUUUAAAAAUAAAAAGUAAAAAGUCCUCUGCUUUCUCCCUCAGGAAGGAUCACUUUUAACAUUCAGUGUGUGUCUUCCAGACAGUGUUUGCUUCCAGGAUGAGUUCUGCAGGAAACAGUUGGAAAAUAACAGAGCUAGGCAGUCCUGCGGUCAUCAAGAAAGAGCCUAUAAGAAUCCACACGCAAGCAAAACAAAAUGAGUUCUAUCCUUGGCCUUGAGGAACUCCAGACCACUGAAGAAAUGGGCAUGGGCAUCAGAAGAGAUUUGUGUCAUUUUGAUAGAUUUGCGUAUAUGCAGUUAUACACAUAUAUACAACGCCAGGACAGUCCUUCAUUCCAGGAGUGGGUAGAAGUGCUGGAUUUCAUGGAAAUGGCUCACGGAGAACAAGGAAGGGUAUAUUCUGUAGCACCAAGUUCAAUGGAAGAAGAUCCCAUCUCAAACGCAAGGCACGUGAAGGCUCAGACCAGGCCUAGACUGGGUGGCUUUUAUGAAGAGAAUUAGGAGGCAGAGGAGACGUUUUAAGGGAGAGUGCUGGGAAGACUAAGAAUGAAGUGGUAGCCUGUUCCCCUUUCUACAUCUUGGGGUGGUAUGCUGGCCAUGGCCUCCCUGAGGACUUUUACUUAGUUGCAGGCAUGGCUCUGAUGUCACCUUUGUGGCUGAGCAGUAGAGAAGGACUCAUAGAAGAGCGGCAAGGAUAAGGAUCCACAAAGCUGCACCUAGGUCUCCCAAGAUUAGACUGAAAGCAAUACUGAGGUUUCCUAUGGCUUCCAGUCAGACCUUAAAAAAUGGUGAGGGAAGAGUCUGGUUUGCAAAUCUAAGAGACGGCACAGCAGAGCCAUAGACAAGCCUGCUGGGGGUGGGACAGAAAACAGCACUGUCUUCACAGGAUCACCAACACCAGGGCACUGUGGAACGGGGGUGCCUGGCUGAGUGCCUGCAGGCCACAUGACAUGCACGCAUCUGUGGACCAAGGCAGUCUGGCUGGGGCAUCAGGGCUGGACACCACCUGUGUUUCAGACCAGAUCAGGGGGUACAAGAGGCCAGAGCCAAUGGUGAUGUAGCCAACAAACCGUGCCACAGCAUCCAGUUGCCACCAAUCUGUCUACAUGCAUGAAGCCCUCCCCCGCCUCCCCACCGGCCUGUCCUAUGAAAUUAGAAGGUCCCAGAGGAGAGGGGGGGAAAACCACUGAGAAAGUAAAAAAUGCCUGACCUUCCUAAGCUGAGUUGAUGCAUCCACCAUGAAAACAAUUUAAGGCUUUAGGAAAAUACUUCUGCAUGCAUGGAAUAGGCCAAAUGUAUACAGGCUAACCUCUACCAAACAGCUUAAGAACAAAUCCUACAACUAACAGGAGGGCAAUUAAAAAGCGAGCUGGGAACAAGUUUACUUACAUUCCUUUGGAGCAUUUCUGACACAAAUCUGAAAUAAAGCAACAAACGGGAAGUUAGAACAUUCAGGCAUUUUUUGAAAUUAAUUUUUUAAAAGCACGAAAACAUGAGCCUUACAUGUCCUAAUUUCCAUGUAAACAUUUCUAAUGCUGCACAUGUUUCACCACCACUAAUUAAGGAUUAGCAAGCAGUAAUUACCCUGCUUUCUCAUUUGCAGCCAGAGCGAUGGAGUGCAAAAUCACAGGGAAAUGCAAUUUUAUCAUCUAACAUCAGCCGGGCUGUUCACAAGUAUUCCCACAGCGCUCAAGCCAUUCUACUAGCUUAAGCUCUGUUUGGGGGAAUACUGCAGUAUGUUAUGUUCCAUGGAUAUCAGAGUCAUGGAGUCCUGUGUAUCUGGAGGUGUUUAGAAGCCAUGGGGCUCUCUACUCCCAGUUUCCCUAAAGUGGAAGCUGCUUGCUCACAGAAUCACAAUAGCAUCAUUUAUUUUCAAAGGCUGAGUCCUACUGGGCAUGGAUGUUGGAGUAAAGCAGAAGGAAUAGGCCAGACAUGGUUGUGAAAUGGGUAGUGACGGGGAUGGUGAUCUUACCAAUUAUAUCUGCAGGGAUGGUGGUAUCCAUAGGGCCUAUGAAAUGACUGUUUCUGCCCUGGCUGAAAAUACUUAUGAGCUAUAGCUUCCUGCUUUCUGGUAAUCCUUUGUUUAAGAAUAAAAUGUGAAUCAGGGUUCACUAUUCCCACAAACACAGAUUCAUAGAAAAGUUGAGCAUAUGGCCAAAUGCUAAAGGGAAAGUGUGUGCUUCCUUCUCUUUCUGGGAACAUAGCAGCACCUAAGCCACCCUUUACAGAGGACACACUUAAGGUGAAGGAGGCCUGGGAAUGGAGAAAAGCUGGACUUCUCAAACUUGCAUCAGGAUAUGUUUGGUCUUAGGCAAGAUUUAAAGCUAAAGAAUUUUCUUCUAUAUCUCUUGGAUGUUGAGUGUCAUACAACACAAUUCCUUGUCAAAUCCUCAAGGCACAAUGGAAAAGCCGUUAAAGAAAUACAGAAAAAGUACCUAUGGUAUCACUAGCAUAUCCCCAUGUAAAAUAAAAAGAACGUAACAAAAGCACAUGAUCUCAAGCAACAGGAUGACCCACAACCAAAAGUAAUUUAAUGAGCAGGCCACAGACACUUAAGUGCAAGUUUAAUCUGCAGGAGAAGCCCCAAUCUACAACGAAUGACAGGGAGGGUAAAUCAUUUACUUUUUAAAAAAUUCUUCAUUUUAUAAAGGGAUUUGCCCUAGGACUCCUAUAACAAGUUCCCAGAGGCUUUAAAAUAUGAUUUGAUAUACAAAAAUAGUACUGACAUGCAACAUUUUCCUUAGGAUCAGAUCAAUUUCAUGAAGUUAGGCAAACCCAGGCAGUGAUAUAUGUGCACAUUCUGCCUGGGUUAAAGAGGUUUCUUUUUCCCAUCUCCAACUCCAUCCGUAAGACAA